GACGUAGGGCGCGAGCGUUGUCCGGAUUUAUUGGGCGUAAAGAGCUCGUAGGCGGCUUGUCGCGUCGUUCGUGAAAACCUGCAGCUCAACUGCAGGCUUGCGGUCGAUACGGGCAGACUAGAGUUCGGUAGGGGAGUCUGGAAUUCCUGGUGUAGCGGUGAAAUGCGCAGAUAUCAGGAGGAACACCGGUGGCGAAGGCGGGUCUCUGGGCCGAUAUUGACGCUGAGGAGCGAAAGCGUGGGGAGCAAACAGG
rnacentral:rRNA from 1 species